AGCCUGAUGCAGCGACGCCGCGUGAGGGAUGACGGCCUUCGGGUUGUAAACCUCUUUCAGUAGGGAAGAAGCGAAAGUGACGGUACCUGCAGAAGAAGCGCCGGCUAACUACGUGCCAGCAGCCGCGGUAAUACGUAGGGCGCAAGCGUUAUCCGGAAUUAUUGGGCGUAAAGAGCUCGUAGGCGGUUUGUCGCGUCUGCCGUGAAAGUCCGGGGCUCAACUCCGGAUCUGCGGUGGGUACGGGCAGACUAGAGUGAUGUAGGGGAGACUGGAAUUCCUGGUGUAGCGGUGAAAUGCGCAGAUAUCAGGAGGAACACCGAUGGCGAAGGCAGGUCUCUGGGCAUUAACUGACGCUGAGGAGCGAAAGCAUGGGGAGCGAACAGGAUUAGAUACCCUGGUAGUCCAUGCCGUAAACGUUGGGCACUAGGUGUGGGGGACAUUCCACGUUUUCCGCGCCGUAGCUAACGCAUUAAGUGCCCCGCCUGGGGAGUACGGCCGCAAGGCUAAAACUCAAAGGAAUUGACGGGGGCCCGCACAAGCGGCGGAGCAUGCGGAUUAAUUCGAUGCAACGCGAAGAACCUUACCAAGGCUUGACAUGGGCCGGACCGGGCUGGAAACAGUCCUUCCCCUUUGGGG
rnacentral:rRNA from 2 species